UACUACUCCUUGCUUGAUUGAACUUAACGUACGUAGAUUUAUAUUGCUAGUAUAUCUGUGUAUCCUCUUUACAUUUUUGUUCUUUUUUUCCUUUUGUCUAUUUUUUUUUCUCUUUUGUUUGGUUAGUUCUGAUUUUUGGGAGCUCCAUUGUGAUUUCUAAGAGGAGAUUUAUCGGAUGUACGUACGUAUGUACUUAUGUUAAUAACGUACUCUUCAAUAGUUUGUAGCAUUUUUCAUAGAUGAAUAAGAGAGCCCGGCCGUCAUUCUUGUUUUGUGUAUAGAAGUGUGUACUAAUCAAUAAUUACAGUUGUUUACCUGCAUAGUUAAACUGCAAACACCUAAAACCUAAUCGAUCCUGUAUAUAUGAUCGGGUUCAAUUUACAGUUCGAUCGCCUACCACUCAUACCCUAGCUGGUACAGCAUUUCUAUAUUUCAUUUCAAUAUACGUGAUAAUAAUAAAUUGGGUCUGGAAAUUCAAAAUUUACUUCCCAACAAUAUCUCCAACUGUAUAUGUAUAUCAAAAACCCUAACACUCUUAGAGUUGAUCAAUGAAAUGGUGGUUGGGUUGUUGAAAUGGGUGGAUAGAGCAGUGAUAUUUCUGUGGAAAUAUCAAUGGAACAUAUAUGAUAGUGGAAUUUGUACAUGGUGGGGAAGGAAUGGGAUGAGAAAAUGAUAAAGUUAGGUGCAGCAUUAGCUAGGGUAACUAGUAAAGGAAUAAUGUGUGGAAGAAAUGGGAUAUGGUGAAUUGCAUAUUAGGAUAGGAUACAUGCGCGCAUGCAUUGCGUUCCAGCUUUGCUUGGUAGUCUUGUUUGUGAUCUUUUUAUGGUGGGUUAAAGGAUUAGAGGGAGAUAGAAAUGGCAUGGCCAGCCAAGCUCAAAUGGGAAUGAUCGACAUGAAAGCACAAGGCAUCCAAAGGAAUGGUACUUAUUCAUGGGGUAUGUGGGGUUUGAUACGCAUAUAUGGUGACAAAACAUAUAAAUUGGAAAGUGAAGUGCACAUGACUCCUACUACUAGUUGCCCCCACGAAACAUACAUAUAGGUGAGCCGUGAGCGAGAGGUCGAUCACGAAUCCAUUAACUUCUUCCUUUGUGUAAAUUCUAGCUUCUCGUGUUUUUUUUACAGUUAGAUCAUCAAUAAGUUGUGAAAACAGUUAUGCAUACAAGUAGAGGAUCCAGGAAAAACUACUUUGGCAUAAUAUUGGUUUCUUUUAGUUGAAUACAAGGAAUUACAUUACGCAUGCAUACAUUUCCACUACAAUGAGUUCCAAAACGAUGACAAUUGAUUGACCGAGAGACUGAGAGAGCCCUCCGAUCCCCCCGCUAAUAUUUAAGAAGGAAUGAUCGGACUCAUCGGAGUGCUAAUUACUUUCCUGAAACUCUGAAAGAGUUCCUCAAAAUGCCAUAGAUUGGCUUAAGCAUCAGGGAGUUGUAGCUAGGAAUAACUACUUGAUAUGUUUAGGGUAAAAUGACCUAUCCCUACUUUCAGCUGGCCAACUUCUAGAAAGAAAUAUAUAGCAGAUGUUUCUUCAACAGACGUAACUAUGUGCUCACAGUUAUGAGAGAGAGAAGGGAUAAUUUGGUGACGACUAGCUAGCUUACAGCAGGCAAUCAAUGAGUGAUGCAUGGUGGUCUGCGUACGUAUGAACAACCGUGAGUGCUUAUGGCACUACAAAGGAAUAAUCCAAAUGGACGAUGUGACAAAUAACAUGUAAUGCGAAAAAACCACAUGCACCGUGUUGGUCACUAGAAUUUGGAACUUUGGAAUAUAACUAUUUGUAUAUAUACUUGCAUAUCAAUUGCAGUAUGAGUUCAAUUUAGUCAUGGUAUGUGGUAUGUCUGAGUUCAAUACGUACGAUCAAACAUUCACAUCAGCAGGUUAAUUAGUGUGAGUUAUUCUGCUUAGGUCUCAUUCUUCAAAACUUGCUCAUCUUGAAACAGUUUAAUCAUUUAGUGUUAACCUUGAAGGCUUGAACUCUCAUUCAGUUGAACCCAAUUUGAGUUGAGGAUUGGUUACUUGUCCUUCCAACUCAAUCUCAGAUCGCCUAACAAACAAUGAAACAAAUCACCUCCUAGGAUCUUAUUAUUUUUACAUUAUCACUUCCUUGCUAUUACGUACAGAAUCCAAAACUCCCAAAUUAUUCCCAAUUAUGUAAAUCACAAGGAAUAUAUGUACGUGUGCCCUGCUUUGCUGAUUAGAUUCGUAUACGUAGUAAAAGCAAAUAAUAUGAAUGGCGUAGUUUCACGAUCAGAAACAUAAAGCUAAAGUUUGUAUAGAUUAAAGCAUUGGAUGCCAUUCAAAGAUCCAACAAUUCAGAACCAUCAUACUAUAAGCUUUAUAUGUCUUUUACCUUUUUCUAUGAAGACAGACACCAAACUACAAUGUUCUCAUGAAUGAAAUUAAGAGACAAGAAUAUAUACAUAGCCACAUGUCAGGCUGAUUAUUAAUGAGAAACCCUAAUGCGCGUGUAGAAAACCCAGAGAAUUUUCCUAUCAUAUGGGAUUCAAGAUUCUUAAGCGCACUUGGUUUAAGUUGUAUCCUGGUUUGACAUAGACCAAACUCUUUAGUCUGUGCUUUACGAUUGAUUUGAAUUGUGAAAGAAAUGGACUUAUAUUGCAUCAAGCAGCGGAAAAAUGAUCGAGCCAGCUUUAGUGCUACCAAUUUCAAAGUUGAUGGGUUCUCAGCAGGGCAAGACCUCACAUUAAAUGAAAGAUACUCCACACAAUUUAAUUUACGAAAACUAGAAAAGAGACAAUUAGUGAUGUUUUGUGGUUGGAACUUGGAAAGUUUGGGCAAAUUCUGCUUAAUUUAAACAGACAAAUUAAGAUUGAAAGCUAUGCAACUUCCAACUCUAAAAAGCUCAGUCACAUUAUUGCAUACACACACACACACUUAUUUAUGGUAGACCGUAUAGAAAACAAUGAUGAAGAUUUUGAUCUCCUAGUGAUUCAUUUUCACAGCCAAGUGCAAACAUAUUUGAUAUAGAAAAUCGUCAGGAACGUCGACAAAGAGCGAUAUCCAACAAGGUAGCGAUGAGUGAUGACCCCAGAGAAAAGAGAGUAUCGAGUAGCAUUAGAGAUUUGGGACUAUAUAUGGAUGUACUAAUAUUGGAGAGAGUAUUAUUUGUCUCGGAAGUUUCUAUUUCAAGACGACAGAAUUUGAUCGGUUGGAAGAGUUAUCUGACCAACGUUUAUGCGAGGGAGUUGAUGAUGGGCAUGGUAAUCAACAUCAGAAAGAGUAAUGGUGCCGGUGAGUGAGUCGACGACGAUGACGCUGCUGAAGAGGGUGAGACCUUGAGAUCGAGUUGUAAUAGUGUUUGCUACCAAGAGUUUCGGACUAAGAUGUGUUGCUCCCUUGCUCACAUGUUUUUGGCAGCAAGGGCAAAGGGAGUUGGCUGAGAGCGAGUCAUUAUGUCUUCUCUGCCGAUAUAACAUGCCUACAGAUUAUUGCUCUUUGCUAGUGUGGAGUGUUCUUAAUUUUCUUUUUGGACAAUAUAUUCCUAUAUAAUAUAAUCUUCAUGACAUCCCUGGUGCCUUAGCUUGUUUAUUUGUGAACUAUGUUCACUUAAUGAUAAGUAGUUUUCCUAAUUUGUGACCAAGUUUCACAAGAAUCUGAAUAAAAAUGAACGUUGCAAGCAUGUUACUAAUCGACUAGACGAGGGAUAUGGAUUUUAGUGGUUCAAAAUUUGGGUAACUUUUCUUUUGCUUCUGGUAAAGGUUUAGAUUUCAUUGAAAUAAAAAGAAUAAAAGAAAAAAAGAAGAGGAAACGGGAACCACAACCUGUAGGGAAUAGUAUACACCUAUACAAUGACCAAAGUCAAUAGCUCAAAGAAAUUCGAAAAACACCAAAUAAGCUUUACCACUCAAAGUUUGGAAAGAACUUGGUCUCAUUAAACCAUAUAAAUUUAGACCUCUGAAAGCUUCAGGUGCAAUUCCCAACUUCACAUACUCAAAAAUAGCAUUUGAAAAUGUGACGCUUUUGGUCGAACAAUAGUGAAUGCUUUUCAACUCCUAGUUCACAGCAAGUAGCUAAUUUCAAUUAAGAAAAGAAACCAAAUACAGCACUUGUCAAUUAUUACAGUGUUGCAUAUGAUUGAGGAAUUCACUAAAAAAGUAUACUAUCAAACAAUGUGGUACAAUGACAUGAUCCGCUAAAUUUGGAACUAGCAAUAUGACAAGUGUUACCGAUAAAGGAGAAUGAAAACUCAAGUCAAAAUUUGCCAAGAAAUGACUGGUUCAUGAGCAUGCAGUGUAAAGUACGAUGCUAAGUUGCUAACCACAGAGCUGCAUAAUGAGAAGAAGGCUAGUUCCACCUUGGAAUCUAACCACUGCGCAUCAACUGGGUUGUAGGUGAUGCGGAUUCUACUAGUAUACUCUCUCUAAUUGGUUUGUAUUUUCUAAUCCCUUGACCCAGAUAAUGCGUCUUCAACGCUCACCAAGGUCCUAACUCUGGAGAAGGGUAUCAAAGUUAAUAUCUUUUAAUCAAGGCACUAUUUGUUCUAACAGAACCCUGAUACUUCACCUAUCUUCUUCUUUGUUUUCUUCGACAUUCAAAGCAAUCUGAACAUGGAGAUCUGAUUUUACUUGUAUAAGAUGCUUGCAGCUUGCUAGGUGGUACUUUCAGGUCUUCAACUAGUAUAUGGCGAAGCUUCUCAUUCUCCUCUGUGAGCUCGUCAAUGAUUUGCUGGUGUUUCAAUACCUGAGACAACAUAAAUUCAAUUAAACAAUUCUAUUACAUUUUCCUAACAGGAGUUGAACAGUUUUAGUAGCUUGAAACAAAAUUGAAGAAAGCAAUUGUUUAGUUGAAUAUUUAGAAAAGAAAAAGGUUGAAUUCUUGAUACAAAGGUGAUGUAUGAGCUACAGAAAAUUGGACUCUACAACACAUGAUAACUUGUUCAAAAACUUGUCAAAUGCUCUAAAAACCACAUUGGAACAACAAUAAAUACUAUAACUAUCUGCUACUAUUACAUUGAAACCACAGAAAAGGGAUCAGAUAUUUGUCAGAAAAAAUGACUUCUUAGCAUAUCUUGAAGGCUGUGAGGAAACUCACAAGUUGGACAUAUCAAAUAGGUAUUUACCAAGCAAUAACAUCACCACCAUAGUUGUCUCUUAGUCUCUUAGAUCCAUCACUUGGGAAAAAUUAAUAAUAUUAUAAAAUAAUUAUAAUAAAAAGGAAUCAAUUGAAACCACAAGUCAAUAUUUACUACCAUUUGAAGGAUUUUAUUCUCCGACCUCAAGCGUCCAGCCUACAAAGGUAAAAUCAAUAAAAAUUAGUACAAAAGUAACAUGAAUGGCAGACACACCCAGGUACCUACUACGCCACUACAGAUUGCAGAGAGAGAAAGUGAAAGAGAGAUCAAACCAAAGGGUCUGCAAUAAAAUCACAAAAAUUUCAGACUUAGAGUUGGAACCUGUACAUACCACGUCACUUAGUUCACUAUCCUCUCCCUUCAAAACUGGACUCUGUAAAAAGCUGCUGAGAACCUUCUCUGUACGACUGCCAAAAGGUGUAUCAACUGGAGAGCUUGUUGAUGUAAAAUUAUCAUAAGUUGAACCUGUACCCUUAUUUCCAUAUCCAGGCAAGCCUUGAGUUGCAUAGUCUGCUGGUUUUGUUGCCAUCUGCAUUAUAUUUCCGACUGGAUUUUGGCUUGAUGAAUCAUUCAUAACGCCAAUGCCGCUUUGCAAUGAACUUGGAAUGGCACCUUGAAGGAUUGGUAAAUUGGGAGAAAUUCCAAAUUUUGUCAUCAUUUUUGCCAUUGUUUGCUGGAGAAUUUAGAGUCAGAAACAUAGUAGUAGGCUCCAACGGGAAUUAACACAUGAAAAAGCAAAGUAAUACUUACCAUAGAAAACAGUUGAAUUUGUUGCAAAAUCCCUGGUUUCAGAGCAAGGCCUGCAUUUGGAAGCAAUAGUAAAUGAAUAUUGUUACAAUGUAGGAACUACAAAGUAAAAUGUAUUAACUUAGUAUACAACGUCAUAAGAUAUGAGUGCAAUUGAUUUGGUGUGAUUUAGAACAAUGUACAAUAACUUGGAAUAAUUGAAAGCUGAAGAAUGAAAUUUGUUUCUUAUUGAGAUCUUAAACUCAACUGCAAACGCUAGUGAGAUUACUAAACACAAACGUUCGUCAGUCUAUGACAUUAGUGAUGUAGUGAUUACUCUUAUUCAAAAAAUUAAGUUAUAUCUACAUAAGCAAUUGAUAGAUGCGACUUAUUGAAUAGAAAGGUAGAUGGUAGGACCAUCAUACAUGUGUUAAACUUUAAUAGUCUGAUGACUCCUCUAUUAAGUUUUUGGAGUCAGUCAUUAUAGUGCUAAAAUACAGUUCAUUCUUUGGUAAUCCAACUUCACUAAAAAUACCAACUUGAAAUUCAAAAUAUUGAGGAAAUAUGAAAGAAUACUGAAAAUACUAUGGAGAUCAAGGAUACAUAAUAACAUAUAGGUAAAGUCUGAAUGUUUUUUUUUUUUAAUCAAAGGGUCAACUCUUUAUUGAAUAUAGAACUAAAUUAUACGUUACAAAUAUCAGCUGCUAUAGCAGAGUGAAUAAAAUUGGUGCAGAACUAAGUCUGAAUGUUUUUGUAACUGCUAGACACCAUACAAUCAAUUUUGCUAAAGCAUUUUACAUCCACGCUAUUCGGUGCUUAUGACCAAGGAGAGCAUCCAGUCCUUUCACACCCAAAACAAGGUAAACAACUUAAUAAAGAAUAAAUGAAUUUCUUCAAUAAGCCACGGAUAUUCAGUGAUAAUUUAGUUUAAAAUUCUUAGGUAUGUUGAUAGUAAUUUACAUUACGCGCAUCAACAUUUCCUCAUGAAAACAAAAAAAACAAAGCAUUUCAAAAUAUUCAACUAUCGUAUUACUAUGUAUGAAUCAAAUGGUUUGGAUAACAGAAGCAAAUAAGAAAUAUGUAAAUGAAAUAAUGUCAAUAUAGGAAAGAGAAUAUAUUAUAAUACUGAUUCUCCUAGAAGCAGAUAAGAUGACAUACCAACUCCAAAGCCAUGUCCAAAACCAACGCCACAACCAAUGCCGGCUUCAAUGUUCUUUGCUCCAACCUUCCUUAACUGGACAAUGAGAAAGCAGAAUAAGACAUUUGGGAAUCCUUCAACACUUGUAUAAUGAUUUUCUCUUCCUAUCUCAUAUCAAGACACAGAAUACUCCCGAGAAUCCAAGACUGAAAAGGAAAAAGUUAUUCGACUUACGGCGUCAGUUACAUGUCUGCUAACUCCCGAAAAAGCAUCAGUGGCACCUCUUGUGGCACCCAUGACUUGAUUUACCACUGGUACUGCACCUGGUAUAUAGCCAAAGUAAUGUGUGAGUUAACUAAUAUCUACUAGUCCGCUACAACCAUAGAAGAAAUCUCUUGUCAAUGAUAUCUUUACUUGAGGACACUUGUGACUUAAUUUUAUAGAUUAAUGAUAAUAUAUAUAUAUAUAUAUAUAUAUAGAAUUAUCUUUUUACUCCUGCUAUUCUCUGCGCUUGUAAUUUCGUGAAAGAAGGAUUGGAAAAGAUUUCUAUCUGAAGGUUUUGGCUGACAGAAAAUACACAUACAUAAAAUAUAAAAUUUGAAAAGACUAUUAGAUCAAUGGACUAAAUGAGCAAGGAUAAUAAAAGGCUCUAUAAACAAUAGAAAACUCAGAUUUACGAUCAUAAGUGACAAAGACCAAAUGUACUUUAAGUACUAAAAAUAAUGAGGAAAGGGAUAUGCAUACUUGAAUUUUUGGAUUAUUGAGAUGCCAAAAGGACAAAUACAUUUUCAGUGUACAUAGUAUAUUCCCUGCGUUGCUACAACUCUUUAAGUCUUUAACUUAUAGGUCAAUUAGAGCACGCAUAGGUACAGUGAUGCCCAUCAAGCCUAUAAUAUAAAUACCGAAUUCUAUGUGCUAAACGUGUCUUGUUUUAUAGAACUAAGCACAAAUGGACAUGAAAACAUUCAUUUUUUAAGCACAUGUUAAUGCUGAUUUCUUUCAUUUCUCCCUUCCUCUAAGUUGUUUUCCUCGACUCAAAGGUUAGCAAUGCAGCUUUCCCUUUUCAUUCAUACUUAGACAGGAGUUAAUAUCUUGGAUCAUGCAUGCUAACAAAGUAACAAUGUGGCUAUGUCAGGUGAAUGAUCCUACAUUAGUAGCUUUGGUGACUUGUGGAUAACCUACCAAAUAACCACUAAAACACAUGUGGAAUAUAUUGGUCUUGGAACUCAAAUCCAUUGCCUAUCAGAUAGUGUAAAACUAAGAACUCUCUACCUUCAAAACAACAAUUUAAACUGCUCUGAUGACUACAAAUUGAAUUGAUUUCCAUGUAUGACUACACAACACCAAUUCAAUGUUUCAGAAUAUGAGAUCUCAGAAAUGAGCAAGAGUGGUAAACUAUAGUUCUUGGAAAUAUAAAGGACACCAGGUCCACCAAUAUCGUUGUAUCAACAAAUCCUUCAUUAUCUAAAACGAUAUAAGCACAAGAGACUCAAAUCAGAACAUAGCUUCAAACUGCACACACCCCACGAUCACAUAUUGACUAGAACCACAAUGCGCAAACCUCAAAACAACCAAAUUCUCUACAUCAAAACCAACGCACACUGCAGCUACACUAGCAAAUAACCAAAUGCAAUAUCUAUAAACAAUCAACCAAUCUUCCUUCAUUCACUAAAGGUCUAAAGCCAACAUGAAACAGCUUAAUCACAUUUCCCUACACUAACUCAGCAACCAAAAACACGACCGAAAUUUGAAAACCAAACAAACAAACAGUCCAUUAGAACCUUGUGAGUGAUGGGUUUCACCAUUUUUGGGCUUGAAGAGCCUCCCAAAGUCCAUCUUCAAUAUUUUAAAACUCACAGAGAACAAAGCUACACAACACUGAGAGAGAUAGCAAGGACUAAAAGAAAAGGGUGAGUACCUAAAUUAAUGGGGCGGCCAACGCCGAUACCAACACCACAGCCUAUGCCAAACCCAGUAAAUACUUGACCCACUUUCAAAGUAAACGGAUUCCCUAUUCGAAUCGGCUUCUUCUCAUUGGCCACCACCACCACCUUACUGCUUCCCUCCAUAUUCCCCAAAAAAGCUUCUCUCUUUUCAAAAACCCAAGUCUCUCUCUUUCUUUAGUCUUUCACAAAGCUAAAGCUUCAACCUUUUCUUUCUUUCCUCUUCAAAUUUCCCACCUUUGCCCUCUCUGUGAAGCCUGAACUGUAAGUCUGAUACAAUUUUAGGCAGGAGGCAAACUGAACAGAGUUUCUACUCCUCUGCUUACAAAACCAUUAUAGUAAUCUUAGGCUUCAAGUGAUGAACCAAUAUAAACAUGACACAGCAACAAUGAGGAGGUCAAUUACCAGAUUACCUUCAUACCUAAGAAGUAAGGUACUAACCAAGUGUCAAAGAAAGAGGUUAGCUGGAGUUGUUUGGGCCUAUUGGGCAGGUUAAUUUUUGACGCGGCCCGGCCCAUUGUUUGGGUUCUGACACUGAUAACCCGCCUUAUACUGAUUCUUUGCUUCUGCUAGUGCUAGAUUUUGGGGCACGGUUUCUGGGUGAGCUUCUUCAUCUUUGUUUUGUUUCCUUGUUUUUCGUUUCUCUGUUUUCAUUUUGCUGCAUUUUUAGUAUGUGGGUUUUGUGAGUUUGGGGGCUUUUUGCGUGAACGUUUAGAGAGUUUUUGGUGUGGGAAUGUAGGUUUUGAAAGGUGUGAUCUUGAUGGGUUCUUUUCUGUGUGUUUUGGUUUCUGCAAAUUUGGGUGAGUUUCCUCACCUCUUCUUCUUUCUUUUCCUUUUUUGUUUCCUGCAUUUUUAUUGGGUACAAAAAGUUGGUUUUGCUGAGGUUGGGGUUUUUGAGGAUUCUGGAUUGGAGUUGUGGGUUUGGACUAUGGAGUAUGGAUCAUGUGUUGAAACGAGCUUUCCAAAGUAGAGUUUUCUGCAACUGUAGCCUUGUAUAGUUGUGUACUUGUGUUUAGAGAAAUGGGUAGGAAUAGAACAUUCACCAAGUGUUAUGAAUCCCAUUUGCUUAAUUGGGUUACAAGAUAGGGAUAGGUUUACUUACCCGUUACCCCUCAUGGGGUUCUUUUCAGUUUGGUUAUCUGUUGUGUUUUGGACUUUUAUGUUUAAUAGAUUAUUCAGGGUUUCUGCUUUUGGUUGUACUAUGGAACGUUUAUAUGUAUGUUCUGAGUGUUGUGUGAACUUUAAUUGGUGAUCCAAUCUUUCUAGCAAAGUGUCCCGCACAGUGCUCACUUUGAACACAAAAGGUUUCGACCUUAUCUUCACUUGUGGAAGUUGAGGAAAUCUGUCAAAUGGAGCCUAUUCUACAUAUUCGAUCUUUUGCUGCACUAUAUUCAUGAACACUUUCGUCACAGCUCUUGAUUUUUAACUAGUCCCCUGCUAGUGAAUUUUGUGCGACCAUUGGUACCCCAAUGUUGUUUUAGGUUGAACUUUUUCCUCAGCUUCUGUUUGUUUCUUCAGUUUUGAAAUUUUCCAGCUUGUCUUCAGGUUCCUAUAUAGUGUGUAGGAAAUCUGCUAUGCUUGUUGAGUUUCUGGUAACUAGAUUGUUUGUGGAUUUUGUUGCUUACUUGCUUUGGUUGCAUAUUAACUAUAUAAAAUCUGUAGAUGUGCUCAAGUAUUUAUGUGUACUUUCAAUUAGUAUUUCAGUUUCUUUUUACAUAAUCAUAUGUGGUUUAGCACAUUCAUUUUACUUUACAAAAUUUGGAGUAUGGUAAUUGUUGAAGCUAACAAUAGUCUCUUCGUGGAUCAGGUGUCAACAUCGCUUACCAUUUAUGACAAGCUUCCAUCAGGAAAAAUCAUUGCUUCUGUCAAACUCUGUGAUUACAAAUCUGGCAAGGUAUUCAACUUAUGUUAGCCUUUGAAGUAUACAUGAAUUUGCAGUUCAGCUGCAACUUAUAUCCACAUUUCUUUUAUCUAUUGCUGCAGUACCUUUAUGAACAAGUAAAAAGCAGUUGAUCUGAACUAAUCCUCUGCUAUUUGUUUUUGCAUAGUAAUUGGCGGUCCUAGCAUUAUUUCAGGAGGGGAAACUAGAUACUUGACAACUUCAGUUACAUUUGUAAACGAUAUUGCUGGUCUAAGCUUGACAGAGCCAAAUUCCUUUGAUUUAGUAGUUCUGUAAGUUGGCCACUAACAGAAAAGUACCUGUAGUUUUUGGAUGAUUAAACAGACAAACAUACUGUUGUUAUUUAGGUUUGUCGCAGUGUCUUUUGGUUGCUAGUCAAUAAGAAUACUUGUCUUUGAUGGUUAUUGUGAUUUUAGGUUCUUGAGCAUUACAUAGGGUUAUGUGUUAUCGUUGCAGGAUUUGGAAUCAUCAAUUGUAUCACUAAGUGGUAUCCAUUUUCAAGUAGGAUUUGGAACGUUGCCUAUGGAAAAUUCUGAGCUACCAGCGUAUAAGCGGUGUAGAGUCUCUGCUGUUCGUGACUUUCCUAUUGGGUGUGGACCAUUUGCUCACUUGAGUAAUUUGAAUGCCAAUGGUACAGAGAAGAUUUCAGAUAAAAAAUAUCCUCCUCGAUCAGUAGAAGCUGUUCGGGAUUUUCCACCUUUAUGUGGGAUCAAUGCUUCUCCGGAGGCCAGGAAAUUCAGCAAAGAGAAGUCAGUUAGGGGUUAUAAGCCCUUGUCAUCAAAGACAGCGAAGAAUAAUGAGAAACAAACAGGACUUGGGAACAAAGUUCAACCCAACAUUGAGAAGAAAAUUGGAGGACACUCUCUAAAGAAGAAUAAUCAUGUACCAGUAAAGGCUGCUUGUCAAGGUACAAGUCAGCCUGAUAUAAGGAAGAAGGAGUAUUCUCAGCAUGAUGAAAAAGAACAUAAUCUUGUGAUUCCAAAAUCACGGAGUACAGAUGGGUGCCCUCCUCCUUUUGGUUAUAGUAGUUUGAGCCGCAGAAGUCAUGAUAAUGACACGAGUGAAAGGAACAAGGUAAAGGAGAUAUUGCAUUUGUUCCGAGAUGAAUGUCAGAAGCUCUUGCUGGAGGAAGAAAAUAAAAGGUCAAGGGGUGUGGGAACUUCUCACCGAAGGGUUGAUUUGGAAGCCUUCAAGAUCCUCAAGGAUAGGGGAAUCUCUAUAAAAUCAGGCAAACAUGUCAUAGGAGAUAUUCCAGGAGUUGAAAUUGGUGAUAAGUUUCAUUACCGAGUGGAACUUAUCCUUAUUGGCCUCCAUCACCAGAUACAAAGUGGUAUAGCUUAUGGACAUUUCGGUGGAAAGGUCCUUGCAACCAGUAUCGUUGCAUCUGGUGGCUAUGCAGAUGAUUUGCAUAGUAAAGAUUCAUUGAUCUAUACUGGCCAUGGAGGAAAUGCAAAUCCAAAGGACCCUCAAGAUCAGAAGCUUGAACGGGGAAAUCUUGCUUUAAAGAAUAGUGUGCAAAAGAACCCUGUUAGAGUGAUCCGUGGCUCCGAACUAGUGGAUGGAAGCAGGACAUAUUUCUAUGAUGGAUUAUAUAUGGUAGAGAAAUGUUGGCAGGGUAGAGGUGCUCAUGGUAAGCUUGUUUUCAAGUUUCAGAUGAACAGAAUUGGAAGCAUUGGAAAUUGACGUGUGAGGUUAGUACUACUUAUUCAUCUAUAAGAUAUUUGGAUAUUAUAAGUUAGAACUCGGUUAGUUACAUAUAUCGUGCAUUGUACUGCAUUUGGUUGAGUGGAUGCAUGCAAAUAUGAAAUACUAUCAUAACUGAUGAACUGAAAAUGCAUUGAAUAUGAUUAGACCAUGAAUCCAUUCUUUAUCAUGGUUUCUGAUUUAUGUAGUGUUGAUUCCGUUGGAGUUAAUUUGGUUGUUUUUCGUCCCCACAGAUGCAUGCUUGAACUUGGGUAUACAAGGAAGAAUUGCCAGCCAGUAUUUGACCCAUCUAAAAGAGCUAAGCGGAUGUUUUGUAAAAAGGAUUUUCCAGCGGUUAGUAAGGUGUUUCUGUGACAGGUAGAGUAGAUAAACCGACUUUUGUGAAGAACUUUAGCAUUGAAAAAAAAAAAAAAACUUCUGUGAAGAACUUGACAGUGAGGCACAGAUCGAUGUACUGUCUAGAUAGUGUGAAGCUUGUUAUCGAUGUAAUUAGGUCUAAACUUAAUGUAGGCAGUAUUACGUGACAGUUAUGUGAAUGCUGUGUUGAGUUUGAUAUUGAUCAUGUUUUGCUUGCUAGUUGCAGGAGUUGGCAAUUGCUCUAGUGUGUAAAGUGCAGUUUCAAAUUUCUUGAACUGCGAUUUCCCGCCCAUUAUUAUUGUCACACCUAUAGUAUAAUACACCUUGUUCAUAACCCAAAAGCCCCUAUCAGUUUUAUGAAGAUGCAUAGCUCUGAAUAAAUCGCAAGAAAAGCAUCAAUAAUUUUUCAUAGAUGAACUUUCUCAGAUAAAUAUGUAAGAUCAAUACCUUGCCAGCAAAUAAUUUUCAGGUAGAAAGCAAGAAAUGGACUUAACAUAUAAAUCGUUGCGAAUUAAAAUGCGUGGCAUUCUAAUAUAAUCAUGUCCACUGCAAGGUGUUGGGUGUUGGGGUGGACUAGAGGCUAAACUCGAUCUGUACAAGGAAAAAUUCGAAGUGUCAUAUGUUCUCCCUGGACUUUUUGUUUAGCAAACUAGCACCAACAAAAAAAACUAUACAAUUGUCAUAAAAUAAAGAUGCUGUAAUUUAGAGUGGAAGAUAACUUUAUGUUAAGUCUUUAGUUUCAACAAUCAAAUUUUGCGAGUGAUCCCCAACUAAGUGUGAUAUCUCAUUGAAAUUUUACUGAUUUUGGUUAACGUGUUGAAUGCCAAGCCUACUUACUACAAACCUUCAUUUCAUCGUAAUAUUUACCAUGUAUAUAUCUUGUGUUUAUGUAGUACAAAUAAGAGCAAUAUUAUCAAUUCUAUAUUCGUGAAGUUUUUACACAAGUCCUAAAUAAGAUCAAUUCUUAUUUUAUGGUUAUCUAAGUGACAUCGCUCGUGUAAAGGGAGGUGAAUAUGUGGUUGUCACAGAGGUGCGUGGAGGAGAGAUUGGUUGUGAAAAUAUAGCCGCAAAUGGCAAAUUAUAAUUCUUACGAAUUCAUUCAAAGUAGAUAAAUUUAUGAAACAAUUAAAGAUGUGAAUUGUAGAUAAAAUUUUAAAGUCAAUAGCGUGAGGAAUAAAAUGAAGUUGUACAUAUGUGCUUACCACCACAUGUAUAAAGUUAGGCCUUUUUUUUCUUUUUUGGUUACAAGUUAGACCUUUUUUUUUAUGAUACAAAAUUCGAUGAGUUGUUGGUCGUAUUUAUGAAACAAUUAACGUGUGAAUCAUAGUAGAUAAAAUGUUUAAGAUAAAACAAAAAGAUAAAAGGAAGUUAUUUUUCAGUGCUUACGGCCACAUGUAUUAAGUUAGACCCGCAGUCCAUCACCGAAUGCAAAGCUGCCACAUCAAUCCAGUCAACUGUUUUUAAAUUCUAUGACCAAAACGACCUGGUGUAACCGUUCAGACAAUUCCUGUUUUAGAAACAAACUGACUCGUUGGCAGUCAAUGGACUCUAUACACGAAGUCACGAACUACAAUUAAUUAGCUCAUCAUAUGAAUCCGACUGCCACCACCCUCUUGGGAUUUCUGCGUUUCUUCUCUCAAGUUUGCGUGAGUUUCUCCCUUACCUCUUCGUCUCCCGUAUCAAUUCUUCUGCAUUUUCAACAUAUGGCUGGGAUUUUGGGUGAGAAUAGAUCAUUGUAACUAAUGAUAGUUUUAUUGAGGGCUUCUUGUUCGUUUUCAAUUUUCAUUCUCAAUCUUCUUGCAUGCUGCUUGAUCACACUUCAGUCACUGCAAAGGUUAGCUUGUAGCUGGUUUAGUAUAAUUCUGUUAGUUAGUGUAUAUCUAUGUAAAUUGAGAAAAUGAGUGACUUAGUUGGGUUUUCUGGGCUCAUGGGCAUGGAAGUAAACAGUAUUAGAUGAUAUGAAUGUCACCGGUCAAAAGCUUUCAGGUGAGAAUGGUUCUGUUUUUUUUUUUUUUAAAGGAGUGAGAAUGGUUCUGUUGAAACCAUAAGAACCAUAAGAACUCACCCAGAUAGAUGUACUGGUUCUUUUAGAUUACAGUUUCAAUUCGUAUUUCACAUUAAUAUUUCUAGCGCAAAUUCCCAGCAUGCUCAAUUUGAGAUCAAGAUGGGAAUAAAGUGUGACCAGCUGGCUGCCAUUUGCUCUUAUUUUUACCUAUGUGUGUAUUUCUUCACAGUAGUUAAAUAGUAAACUUACUUCUGUUGGGAUAUAGCUGCACAAGUGAGGGGUCGAGAGGGGGAGUAUCAGAUUGAGUUACUACCAUAACUUUUUGUGUCUGACAAUUGUUUGCUUUGUUGAAUAGGUAUCAGCAACCUUCACAAUUGAAGUCAUCGGCAACUUCCAGAUCACAAAGUAUAUCUCUGGUGUCAGUUACAAAGCCAGAUUCCUUUGCUUCAGUAGUAAUUCCGUAAGUUCCACAUUCAGAAAAAAAAUUAGCAUAAUUACUGCGUGAUAAACCGUACUAAAGUCCGAGGACAGUUAAGUUAGUUGCUAGUACUCGAUUGUAGCGCGUACAUAUCCGUGUCUAUAUAUAUAUAUANNNNNNNNNNNNNNNNNNNNNNNNNNNNNNNNNNNNNNNNNNNNNNNNNNNNNNNNNNNNNNNNNNNNNNNNNNNNNNNNNNNNNNNNNNNNNNNNNNNNNNNNNNNNNNNNNNNNNNNNNNNNNNNNNNNNNNNNNNNNNNNNNNNNNNNNNNNNNNNNNNNNNNNNNNNNNNNNNNNNNNNNNNNNNNNNNNNNNNNNNNNNNNNNNNNNNNNNNNNNNNNNNNNNNNNNNNNNNNNNNNNNNNNNNNNNNNNNNNNNNNNNNNNNNNNNNNNNNNNNNNNNNNNNNNNNNNNNNNNNNNNNNNNNNNNNNNNNNNNNNNNNNNNNNNNNNNNNNNNNNNNNNNNNNNNNNNNNNNNNNNNNNNNNNNNNNNNNNNNNNNNNNNNNNNNNNNNNNNNNNNNNNNNNNNNNNNNNNNNNNNNNNNNNNNNNNNNNNNNNNNNNNNNNNNNNNNNNNNNNNNNNNNNNNNNNNNNNNNNNNNNNNNNNNNNNNNNNNNNNNNNNNNNNNNNNNNNNNNNNNNNNNNNNNNNNNNNNNNNNNNNNNNNNNNNNNNNNNNNNNNNNNNNNUUUAAGAAUUUGAGGAUUUCUACUAUUUUACAUUAGUAGAUGACUUCUUUUAAUAAUCUCAACCGUUGAUCCUCUAGAUUCAUAUGCAAGAAAUAUGUCUACAAAAUUUCAACUUGACACGACCCGCCUCAAAUUUCACCCUGAAACCCGGAGUAAGUCGUGCGGGGACCACCUCCAAGGAAAAUUUUACCGAAAAGAUUGGUAAAACCUCCCUUGAAAAUGGACAACCCUAACUCGAAAAUUCAAAUUUACACUCUUACUACAACACGUCCAAACUUCACAUAAAUAUCCAGCUAAUAAAAGCAAACAUUAUCCUUCAGAGAUUCUAAACAUCAAAUCAACAGGCCGAGCACACCACCGAAAUAAUAUACAACAAUCCCAAAGUAUCCAGAGCUACUAGACUAUAGCGGAAGCAAGAAAACACGAGUAGGUUGAACAAGUAACCUACUGAUGAAAACUAGCAAAAAUGCGGGUGACUAUGCCUCGCCUCCUACUAGAUCCAACCCGAACUCUGCAAACUGGGCAUUUUUUUAAAACGAAGGGCCCAGGGGAAAACAUUUAAUAACGUCAGAGUGAGUGGACAAAAAUAAAUUAAAAAAAUAAAAUAUUUAUGUUUCCCCGACUCAAUUCCCAAGGAAAAAUCGAAUGCAUGCCGCAAGCGAUAAAACUUUAAUCUCAUAAAAUAUCGAGCCUCUCAGACUCUAUAAUAUAUGUAUGUAUUCACACACGUCUAUACUCCCUAUAUAAAUUCAUAGGUCUAUAUAGGGCUACUACGCUCGCGUCACGCCUUAAUGCGGUGCUACACUACGUCAUUAAGAUGGACAGACAGGUGUAUAAAUAUGUGUCCAUACCCCCUAUAUGAAUUAAACACUCAAAUAGGGCUACUACGCUCACGUCCAACGCUCACGUCACACCAUAAUGCGGCUAUAUGCUACGCCAUUAAGGUGGACAAACACAUAUGGCUAGCUAGCAUUUUAUAUACAUACUCUCUCAUAAAUACAUAUUUAUAUCCACCGAAAAUUCCAUUUUCGGUAACUCUCCAAGAGAAAUAAAAUUCGUCAAAUUAAAAUGACGUCAAAAUAUUCCGCAACAAUUAUUGUUCAACCAUGAACUCUAGCAUGCAUUUUAUUUAAAACAAAAAUCCACUCACAAAUUUGGCCUAAGCCUGAUGUUGAUCUGGGGCCUCGUCUGCUCGAGCCUCCUCACGUCCUGAUCCAAAAAUAAUAUUAAUUUCCCAACUAACAAUCCAAUGUUUAAUCAAAAUAGGCAAAAUUACCCGUGAGCCAUAAAUACGCUCAUCAUUGCCUAACUUCGAUAAUCUUAAAUCGAAACGAUCCGAACUUAAAUAUCAUACUCGGCAGCCGUAAAUACAACCUCCCCAAAAAAUACGACUUAAAUCCUACGGCCGGAUUCUACAUUAAUUAACCGCCAAAAAUACCACACUUCGGAAAUUCAUAAACAUAUCCAAAACUCAUCCAAAAAUUCCAUAACUCACUUCAAUAAACUCCCCCUAAUAUUCCAAAUUUAACAACAUUAAAAAUCUCCCAACCGGCGGUGGCCGGAGGCCAAUUCCGGCAACCUCCAAAACCUAUGAAAUUUUGACAGCAUCUUCCUCUCAUCAUGCUCUACAACUUUCCUAACUAGCACAAACCCAAAAUCCAAGCCUAGCUAUGCCAAUCGAACAGAAACAUCAAAAACGCUCUAGAAUUUCAACUUCACAUUUCUCCUUACCUAGCUUAAGAGAGGGUGAGCUGUUUGGAGGGGUUGCUACACGGGAGGAGGGCUACAAAACGAGCCAAGGAUCGCCAGUUUUGGUGGCCGGAGGAGGGAGCUCCGGCGAGAGAACCACCACGGCAGUUAGCGGCUCCGGGUGUCGUUGCUCUCUCACGACGGCGCUAGGGGAACUGCUACCAGCCUAGAAUGAAAGCUGGGUUGGAGGCUGACCGAACGGGACUGGUGCGGUAGUCUCAGGCGGCCGGACGGCGGCGGAUGAGCGGCCGGAAGGUUUGGCUGCGGGAGGGACUCGAGGAGAGAGAGAACCGGGAAGAAAAGAGAGAAGAGAGAAAAUGGGUUUGGGCCUCACACCCCAAACUGGUCCAACCCAAUUCCAAAAAUAAAACACCCCGAAAAAAUAAUACCCGAAUAAAAAUUACAUUUUACUAUCUAAAAUUUACCAUUUUUACCGUCGUCAUAACUUUCUCCUACGAAUAACUCUCCGAAAUAAUCGUCCCCCGAAACCCCUCUAGGGACCAAUUAAACUAUUAUCUCAAUGACGGAGAUGGGAAAAUUCUUAUUAUAAACAAGCUAGUAAAUAAGGUAAAAAUAUAAGAGUCGGGAUGUGACACAACUAAUUCCAUAAUCAUUUGGUCAUUCAAAAUGAUGUAAACAAUUGUAGGCCGUUAAAUAAAAUUAAAAUGAACAUUGUGUUAAUCAAAUGGUUAAACGUUUUUCAUUUUGGCUAAUUUUUUGUAUGAUUCAUAUGUGGGUAAGUAACUAGGGAAUGGGUGGCUUUGAUUGUCAAAAUAUAUGCUAGAACUAAAAACAUCCUUACUUUAAGAGUUUAAUAAGGUCCUUUGUAGAUCUGGACUAUAUAUAUAUAUAUAUAUAUAUAUAUAUAUUAUAUAUANNNNNNNNNNNNNNNNNNNNNNNNNNNNNNNNNNNNNNNNNNNNNNNNNNNNNNNNNNNNNNNNNNNNNNNNNNNNNNNNNNNNNNNNNNNNNNNNNNNNNNNNNNNNNNNNNNNNNNNNNNNNNNNNNNNNNNNNNNNNNNNNNNNNNNNNNNNNNNNNNNNNNNNNNNNNNNNNNNNNNNNNNNNNNNNNNNNNNNNNNNNNNNNNNNNNNNNNNNNNNNNNNNNNNNNNNNNNNNNNNNNNNNNNNNNNNNNNNNNNNNNNNNNNNNNNNNNNNNNNNNNNNNNNNNNNNNNNNNNNNNNNNNNNNNNNNNNNNNNNNNNNNNNNNNNNNNNNNNNNNNNNNNACUAUAUAUAUAUAUAUAGUCUGUUUCUGGUGCGGACGUCCGUACAGGUUUUUCGUACGGAUUUCCAUCGUUUCUCCACCUUUCCAGCGCCGGCGACGCCGUUUCUUCUCCCCGGUGUGAUCUCAGACCUCCUCCGACGUUGUUGGAAUGAAGAAGAAGGCCGGAGAGAUCGCGAUCGGAGGUCUACCAUGAUCGGUUGUGAAGUUCUGAGUGAGAUUGCUGCACAGACCUCCGAUCGCGAUCUCUCCGGCCUUCUUCUUCAUUCCAACACCGUCGGGGGAGGUCUGGGAUCACGCCGGGGAGAAGAAACGGUGUCGCCGGCGCUAGAAUGGUGGAGAAAUGGCAGAAAACCCGUACGGAUGUCGGCACCAGAAACAGACUGUAUAUAUAUAUAUAUAUAUCUAUAUAUGUAUAUAUAUAUCGUUUUUAUUCGAAAUUCGGCGAAAGGUUUGUUAGGACUAUGUGUUCGAAUUAGCGUUACAUUUGUGAAUUGUCAUUUUCUUGACCUUUCCGAUCGAAAUUUAAAGUUGUUUAGAAAACUUUGUAUCAUUAUGGAUUUUGUUCUCUUUCUCUAUCGAUCUUUUUUUCUUUUCCCAUUAUGAUGAGUUUCUCACUUCGUCAAAUUGUCGCGGCUGCUUAUUGAUAGGGUGAAGCUAACUGUCCUCGCAUCUAUCUUCUGGCAACAAUAUAAUUUAAAGUUUAUGAAAUACUAAUUAGGUUGUGUAAUUGUGUUACAUAUCUAGUGAUUUUUUUACCGUUGUGUCAAAGCAAAUGGAGUUGCCAGUAAAACAAUAUAUUUUUUCGCUAAUUGAUGCUUAUAGAAUAUAUACUUGUCCGAUGUGAGUAGUCUUAUUAUUAUCUCGGGACAUACUCCAAAUGCUUCUUAUAAUCACGGGUUUAGACUCAUGUCACCCUUAUAUUCAAUAGUAUCAUUAAUCAAGGCUCGAGAGAAUCCGUACUAGCCCUUCAUUCAAAAAAUAAUAAUUCUAUACUUUUUAUUUUUUGCUUUAUGAAGAUAGAUUCAUGUAUAGUGAAAGAGAGAAUUAUACACAUUUAUGAAGAGAAAUAUUUUUAUUUACUUUCCAAAUUUGUGAUUUUGAGUUAGUUGCUAGUUUGAUGAAACAUAUUCAUAUAUGUUUUUAAUUAUUUGGUGAAAAGUUUGUUUGGACUAUGUUUCUAUAUUAACGUUACUUUUUUUUAUUGUUCGUUUUGACCUACAAUGUAAUUUUCACCAAAUAUGAAUUAGAAAAACCCGAAAAUGGUAUCUAAAGAGAGAAUUUAAUAUUCUUAACGUUGUGUUUGGAUGAAGUAGUUUCAAUUUCCAUAGAAAUUGGAAAAUCAUGGAAAUUACAAUUUCAUGAAUUUAAAUUCCAUUAAUCGGGAAUUUCAUUGUUUGGAUUUCAUGAUAUAGAAUUUUAAAUGAUAAGAAUUUGUAUUUAGACUAACCUCAAUCGAGAGAAUUGACAAAUGACACCUAUUUUGUAAGGAAUUCAAGUUGGGAAUUUAAGUUUUCAAAUUCCACAAUUAUUUUCCUGUGGAAAUUGCUAAUUCCAUUGGAUAAGAAUCUAAACGGGGGAAAUAAUUCUAAGAAAUUAGGAAUUCUUAAUUAUGGAUUAAAUUCCCGAGAAUUCACCCACAUCCAAACACAACAUAAAGAUUUUGUGUUCCCUUUCUUGUUUUUCUUUUCAUAUUAUGUUACAAUUUUUUGAUUUUCGAUUUUCAUUAGGAUUAAGAUUUCCUACAUGUAUCAUGAUGAAAUCGACAAGGAAUAGUUUCUUUUCUUUCCUAAUUUAAAUUUUUUGUGAUCUAUAUAUAUACAAGUCGUUAAAUAUUUGAAGCUCAACAAGAAGGUCAGGAAGAGACUUGUUUUGUUUUUUAGACGUGCCCGUGAUUUGUUAGUUGUUUUUCCGCAGGCAUUGACAACUUCAUAGAUUGCAAAGUGUUAGUCAUAUCAACAAGCUAAACUUCUCCGCUUCGGCAUUCUGUAAGUUCCAUAUUUACUAUUGCUCUCUCUUUAGGCUUUACUUUAAUUUGUUUUGUUAAACCAUUGUGAAUACAUAUAGCUUAUAACUUAGUGAUUACCUAUUCUGUCUUCACAGGUUCUUGAGCAAUAAUUCAUUACCUAAUUGGGUUGUGAGUUGGAAUGGGGUCAGAGGGAUCAUUGCAGCGUACAGGGUCCUCGAGGAAACAUGAUGAGGAAACAUUGGGCUCUUCCCAUUCCAAGUUACUUGACCAUAAAAGGCCAAGAGUCUCUGCCAUUCGUGAUUUUGCGCCAGGGUGUGGACGAUCUACUCACUUCACAACUUCAGUUGGUAGUUCUGAUGAUAUGGCUAGGGAACAUCAUGUCCCUGCCGUUCGUGAUUUUCCCCAAGGAUGCGGACCAUCUGCUCGCUUGACAACUUCAGUUGGUACUUCUGAUGUGGCUAGGAAACAUCAUGUAGGAGCCGUUCGAGAUUUCCCUCCUCAAUGUGGAACAAGUGCGUCUCAGGAGGCCAGAAACUUUGAUCGAGAGGCGCAGUCAGUUAAGGGUGACAAACCAUCAACAUCAUCAAACACUGACAAGACUAAUGUGUAUCGUUCAUGGUGGACAGGAAAAGUUGCCCACAGAUCUAAACCAAAUGGAGAUAUUGGCCCAAUAAAAAAGCAACCUGAAGCAAAUCGUCAGCCAGAAAGAUCUCGGAAUGACUCGGACAAUACUAGAGGAAAGACUACUCAAUUUAGUGCUGCUAGCCUUCGUAACAACAACACAUCUCUCAUCCGAACGAAAGUGACAGAGACACUGAGUCGGUUCAGAGAUCUUUGUAUCGAGAUUGAGCGUAAGAAGUUGAGGGAAGGAGCAGCAAAUCCGAGAAGGAUAGAUUUUGAAGCUGCAAAGAUCCUCAAGAAAGAAAGAGGAUACGUUAAUACAGGCUCACAAAUAAUGGGAGAUGUACCAGGUGUGGAAGUUGGUGACAUUUUUCGUUACAGAAUUGAGCUCACCAUUGUUGGGUUACAUCGCCAGAUUGAAGGUGGGAUCGACUAUACACAUUUUGGUAACGAGUCGCUUGCAACUAGCAUUGUGGCGUCUGGGGGGUAUGCAGAUGAUACGCAUGACUUGAACUCCCUAACUUACACCGGCCAUGGAGGAAGCGUGAUGCACCAUAACCUCCCAGAGCAUCAAGAGCUUAAACGCGGGAACCUGGCUUUGAAGAAUAGUAUCGACGCGGAGAAUCCUGUUAGAGUGAUACACGGGUCUGAGACUUCCGGUGGAAGAAAGCAGUAUGUUUAUGUUGGACUAUAUUUGGUGGAGAGGUGGUGGAAGGAAACGGGGGAUCAUGGAAAGAUUGUUUACAAGUUUCAACUGAACAGAAUUCAGGGCCAGAGAUCGAUCCCUUGGUUGAUAUAACAUAUGAAUUAUUGGUGGUGCAACAACAUCUAGCUAGCUGACAGUUGAAUAAUUUUUGCUGUUCAUCGACACAAUUUGUCAUCUCUUCAUUACUCGUUGAUGGUUGUUGUACCAGUACUGUUCUUUCUUAGUUUGAUUCUGCAGCUGAUUUGCAGCCUUUGUUUCUCACAGAAAUUUUCUAAUUUCUGUGAUGCUAUUGUUUCAAUCAAGACUUCAAGGCCUCGUUUGGUUCAUGAAAAAGAAAGUAGUUGCUACAUUUUUCCUAUGAGAAGGGAAAGAGAAUGGGACUGAAGUUUUCGAAUAACUUUCUAUGUCAUUGGGAAAGCUGAUAACUAAUAUAAUAAAUAUUCUGCUGUGAGUAAUAAAUAUUAAGAAAGAAGAAAGGAAAGUGGUUUAUUUAGAUUUUAGAAUAGUAAACUACAUAUUAGUUACUAACCAAAUAUCAAUUAACAAAAAGGUACAUUAAGCAUAUUAGUAAACAAACAAGGACAAACUUUUACAAAUAAGGACAAAUUGUAAAUGCAUUGCCGUUAUGCAACACGUUAUGCUGUUGCCAUGUGGCAAUGCGCAUUUACAAUUGUGCCCUUCAAACUAAAUGUGCUGCUACUGUCGGCAGUUUACAAACUUCUGCUACUGCGAACUAAAGAAGUUGCUACUGUCGACUGUUUACAACGUUAUGCUACUGCCCCCUGUUUUUACUUUUCUGCUACUGCCCCCUGUACUGUCGGCAGUUUACAAACGUUCUGCUACUGCCUACCGAAUAAGCUGCUACUAUCGACUGUUUACAUACAUUAUGCUACUGCCUUUUGUUUUUACUUUCUGCUAUUGCCAACUAUUUUCAUUUUUCUCUGCUACUACUAUAUUGCCUAUACAUAUAUCAACCAUGGAAUUACUAUAUAUAUAUAUAUUCACUAUUACUGCUGCUAGCCUGCUACUGUAUAUGUCAAUCAUGGAAUCACCUAUAGAGUUGUUGCUACUGCUUUAUAUAUCCACCAUUAAAUCAUUUAUGGAAUAACUGUUACUAGCCUACUACUGCAUAUAUUAACCAUAAACCUCAUUCUUGUUCUAUUCACUCAUGGAAUCUCCUGCCAAUCAACCAAAACCCCCAAAAUUGAAAAUUUUCACGAGCAUUAACAUGCCCAGUCGCAUUCUAAAUCCUUCAAGGUCGCAGGUGACGACAGCGAAGAUCUCGACGUCUCCUGAUCUCUAACCCAAACAAAGAUGAAGCUGACCAUCAUCAAUUCCCACCAAACAUGAACAAAAUGAAAUUGAAUCAGAUAAAAAAAAAAAACAAAGUAAUUGAAGAAGACCCCCAACCAUGUCUCGUCGUUGGUGAGGCAUUAGUGUUGGAAUCAGAUCUGAUGCACAGAAAAAGUAGUUGAAGAAGAUGCCAAACUUGUUUCGUGGAGGCGUUGCCGUCCUCGUCGCGUCAGCAGCUUCGUUGUCUAGGAGGCAACGCUUCUUGAGAGAGAGAGAGAGAGAGAGAGAGAGAGAGAGAGAGAGAGAGAGAGAGAGAGAGAUAAGAA
rnacentral:lncRNA from 1 species